ACAACAGUCACGUGGUUUUUUCGCCUCGUCCGCCAUUUUUAAGCCUUCACCCUCCGAUUACCUACCCCCUACAGUCCCACCCAGCGUUCUUUCCGUUCCAUGGCUCUCCCUACGCUCUGCCGCCUUCUGUCUCAUUUGCUGAUAAAAUUGCUGCCGAUCUUUUGUUCGAGGCAAGGUUCGGCUGUCAGAGGAAGCAGAGACGAUGCCGGACGGCCUUCACCAACCAGCAACUGUCCACGCUAGAGAAAACAUUUGCCAAGACGCACUACCCCGACGUCGUGAUGAGGGAGAGGCUCGCAAUGAUGACCAACCUCCCAGAGGCCAGAAUCCAGGUAUGGUUCAAGAAUAGAAGGGCCAAAUAUAGAAAGAAACAGAAGGUGACGCCUGCUGCUGAGAGUAGUAGCCAAUCCGGAGCCGGUGAAGAAUCCGAUACAGGCGUCUCUCAACAGAGUGACGCAAAUACUGACCUUGACCUGACUGAUGACGUGAUAGUUGACGUGGUCAGCGAGGAAGAGGAAGAUGAGCUACGGACGUUAAAUACAGGUUAGAGGAGGACUGACAAUAAUAUAUCGAUAGUCGUUUUCUAUAUGGGAACUUGGUGGGUGGGAUUAAAACAAGCACAGAUAAAAAUUGUUUGUGUAAAACAGAAUUGGACCCUUUCCUUCUAAUUUCAAAAAUAGGAUUUGAUUAGCAAUUUACUUUUAUUUCAGUUAAUAGUUUUAUACAUGUAUGCGUGUGUGUCUGUAAAACGCCCUUUUUAAUGAUGCGUUUAAAUCGGACAAUUUAUAUUUACGAUAAACCUUUGGGUGAGAAUUCUGUUAUAAAGAUUAUGAAAUCGUGUCAUUCAAAUAAAGAUUUUUAUUAUGCAAUCUUUUUCAAUACAUUAAAAUCCCUUCCCAAACUAAUUAGUAAAGUAAAAGUGGGUGUUUACAGAAUGCAGCAAGCAAAACAUGUCUUACUCAAAAGUUUGAUCAGAUUUCGUUGAGUUGCAAUGCUCAACCACGAUCUUAUACAGAGAUGUGAGAUACUUGUUCUGAUAUUAAGCUCUUUUAUCCUCUCUGCAGAUCAAAAACCUGGACUAGAAAAUGAGGAACCGGACAAAGGCAUUGUAAAUUGUACUGGCUCUGCUUCAAACUCAGAGAACGCCGAGGGCUCCACUACAAACGCUGAUGAAAAGGACGACGAUGAAAGCGAUGACCCCAAGACGAGGGCGACGCCAUCUCCUGAUAUUGAGCAAACUGAUAAAGAGACACUCAGCUAUCCGCCAUCAACAACUUUACCCCCGUUUCAGAUUUUCAACAAUCAGAGACAAUUUAGUUUUCCUCCUCCCCCUCCCCAUGGGUUCGGGUUUCCGUUUUGCCUACCGGAGAAUUCAUUUCCGUCCUUAUAUCGUAAAGCAUCGCCCCUGGGCCCCGCCCAUUCCACCCACCCCCUGUCUACCAGCCUAUACAAGAGGGAGGGGACGUCAUUGGAAACUCAUUACAACCCAAGCAUCGAGAGUCUGCGGUCCAAAGCAAAACUGUAUUAUGAUUCUCUGGGAAAAUUGUGAUUUAUACUGACUCUAGAAUUGUGUUACUUAUUAUUGUGGAAACAAUUACAUGUAUAUUCAUGGGGGCUAAUUUUAUUGGAUUUCCAUUUUUUUUAAAGAAAAGGUUUGUGGGAAUGUAAGUUUUGGGAUUCUUCUAUGCAAAAUGAGUAAAUUCAUAAUUUGUUGGGAAUGUGCACCAAGGAAAUCCAUGCAAACUGAGCCCCAACGAAUAUUCAUGAUUCCCUGGUACAUUGACUUGAAUAUACAUGUAAAUCUAUUUUGAUAUGCACAUAAUAAAACAUAUCAGCAGGUAUUAUCUAUAUCAGCUUUCUCCAUUCCACGUUACAUUAAAUAAUGCAUUUGAGGUUGUGAUUUUGUAUAAGAUAUUGAUUAUAAAUUUUUAUCUCUCAUUCAUUUUCAUUACGUUCAUGUUUUUAUGUUUGCAGAGUUAUUAGAAAAUGUUCUGUAAAUGCUUAAUAUUAGUAUUAGUAUGUUGAAUGUUUUAUCUUUAAAAAUUUAAACGAGUGCAACUCCUUCCAGUGGAAAUUUUCGGUAUAGAGAGGGUGCACUUUUGUUGAGUACUUGUUUACAGUACACGUUACAUUGCUUUGUUUAGCAUUCUGUAAGCUUGAUUUACAUUGCUUAUUAUACAAAUAAAAACUGAAUGCAUCUU
rnacentral:misc_RNA from 1 species